rnacentral:rRNA from 1 species
UAGGGAAUCUUCCGCAAUGGACGCAAGUCUGACGGAGCAACGCCGCGUGAGUGAAGAAGGAUUUCGGUUCGUAAAACUCUGUUGUUAGAGAAGAACAGCGCAUAGAGUAACUGUUAUGCGUGUGACGGUAUCUAACCAGAAAGCCACGGCUAACUACGUGCCAGCAGCCGCGGUAAUACGUAGGUGGCAAGCGUUGUCCGGAUUUAUUGGGCGUAAAGCGAGUGCAGGCGGUCAAUUAAGUCUGAUGUGAAAGCCCCCGGCUCAACCGGGGAGGGUCAUUGGAAACUGGUUGACUUGAGUGCAGAAGAGGAGAGUGGAAUUCCAUGUGUAGCGGUGAAAUGCGUAGAUAUAUGGAGGAACACCAGUGGCGAAGGCGACUCUCUGGUCUGUAACUGACGCUGAGGCUCGAAAGCGUGGGUAGCAAACAGG